rnacentral:lncRNA from 1 species
CGCUGUUUCAACAGAAGUGAGGGUUAGAAAAGACUAGAUUUCAUAAACCACCGAUGGAAGAGGGUAUAAUCCAUAUGGCCAUAUCCAUGUGCACUUCUGAACUAAGAAGAAGAACAAACUGAAAGCAAAGCAUAAUAGCACACCCAAGAGAUAUAUCGCUAUGUCAUACCUGGUGCUCGCAUAACCAUUCCAUGGAAAAGUUAGCAAGCAGUGGUCAGCACUAGGUAUCUCUAACUAAAGAUUGUGAACCUCAAUUCUCUUUUUCUUUUCUUUUUUCAAGAAACAAACAUUUUUGGAAGAAAGUCACAGUUAUAAAUCCUCUUCAACUUACAGGCUGCAAGGAGCAUGUCAUCAUGCACGCGGAUCGCUCCUGAGAUCACCAAGCCAAGACCAAAUCCUGGGAAGAUGUAUGCAUUAUUUG